rnacentral:rRNA from 1 species
AUUGAACGCUGGCGGCAGGCCUAACACAUGCAAGUCGAGCGGAUGAAGGGAGCUUGCUCCUGGAUUCAGCGGCGGACGGGUGAGUAAUGCCUAGGAAUCUGCCUGGUAGUGGGGGAUAACGUCCGGAAACGGGCGCUAAUACCGCAUACGUCCUGAGGGAGAAAGUGGGGGAUCUUCGGACCUCACGCUAUCAGAUGAGCCUAGGUCGGAUUAGCUAGUUGGUGGGGUAAAGGCCUACCAAGGCGACGAUCCGUAACUGGUCUGAGAGGAUGAUCAGUCACACUGGAACUGAGACACGGUCCAGACUCCUACGGGAGGCAGCAGUGGGGAAUAUUGGGCAAUGGGCGAAAGCCUGAUCCAGCCAUGCCGCGUGUGUGAAGAAGGUCUUCGGAUUGUAAUGCACUUUUAGUUGGGGGGAAGGGCUGUAAGUCAAUACCUUGCUGUUUUGACGUUACCAACUGAAUAAGCACCGGCUAACUUCGUG